rnacentral:tRNA from 1 species
GGUCCCUUAGUAUAGAGGUUUUGUACGAUUCCCCUUCACGGAGUAAGGACCAGUUCAAUUCUGGUAGGGAUCA